rnacentral:other from 1 species
GGGUUUCUGCUCUUCUCGUGUUCGGCCUUUUCCCAGUGGCCUAUAAAUAUUCCGAGGGUGCUGGCUCUGGCGAGGUCCUGGCCUCGUUACCCGGCGCCCACCUGGUACGCCAGGCUCUCGGGAUUUCGCGCCGACACGGUUGCAUCGGUUCCCGC